ensembl:snoRNA
UAGCUCUUUAUUUUCCAAAUGAGCUAACAAUAUCUGAUAGGUAAGAAUGUAGUACAGUUUAAGAAGUGCAAACACAAAAGCCAUGAGUCUUUUAAGCCCAAUGUGUAAAGAUACACUCUGAGUUAUAACUCAGAAAAAAA